AAAGGACGAGGCGGCGGGAGUGGGUGAGUAACGACGUGGGGAACCCGUGCCCCCACUAGUCUGGGAGUACCACUUGGAAACAGGUGCUAAUACCGGAUAAGAAAGCAGAUCGCAUGAUCAGCUUUUAAAAAGGCGGCGUAAGCUGUCGCUAUGGGAUGGCCCCGCGGUGCAUUAGCUAGUUGGUAAGGUAAAGGCUUACCAAGGCGAUGAUGCAUAGCCGAGUUGAGAGACUGAUCGGCCACAUUGGGACUGAGACACGGCCCAAACUCCUACGGGAGGCAGCAGUAGGGAAUCUUCCACAAUGGACGCAAGUCUGAUGGAGCAACGCCGCGUGAGUGAAGAAGGUUUUCGGAUCGUAAAGCUCUGUUGUUGGUGAAGAAGGAUAGAGGUAGUAACUGGCCUUUAUUUGACGGUAAUCAACCAGAAAGUCACGGGCUAACUACGUGCCAGCAGCCGCGGUAAAU
rnacentral:rRNA from 1 species